rnacentral:rRNA from 1 species
AGUGAACGCUGGCGGUAGGCCUAACACAUGCAAGUCGAACGGCAGCACAGUAAGAGCUUGCUCUUACGGGUGGCGAGUGGCGGACGGGUGAGGAAUACAUCGGAAUCUACUUUUUCGUGGGGGAUAACGUAGGGAAACUUACGCUAAUACCGCAUACGACCUACGGGUGAAAGCAGGGGAUCUUCGGACCUUGCGCGAUUGAAUGAGCCGAUGUCGGAUUAGCUAGUUGGCGGGGUAAAGGCCCACCAAGGUGACGAUCCGUAGCUGGUCUGAGAGGAUGAUCAGCCACACUGGAACUGAGACACGGUCCAGACUCCUACGGGAGGCAGCAGUGGGGAAUAUUGGACAAUGGGCGCAAGCCUGAUCCAGCCAUACCGCGUGGGUGAAGAAGGCCUUCGGGUUGUAAAGCCCUUUUGUUGGGAAAGAAAAGCAGCAGGUUAAUACCCCGCUGUUCUGGCGGUACCCAAAGAAUAAGCACCGGCUAACUUCGUG